rnacentral:rRNA from 1 species
UACGGGGGGGGGCAAGCGUUGUUCGGAAUUACUGGGCGUAAAGGGCUCGUAGGCGGAUAUUUAAGUCAGGGGUGAAAUCCCGGGGCUCAACCCCGGAACUGCCUUUGAUACUGGGUAUCUCGAGUCCGAGAGAGGUGAGUGGAAUUCCGAGUGUAGAGGUGAAAUUCGUAGAUAUUCGGAGGAACACCAGUGGCGAAGGCGGCUCACUGGCUCGGUACUGACGCUGAGGUGCGAAAGCGUGGGGAGCAAACAGG